rnacentral:rRNA from 1 species
AGCGUCUGGAAAGGCGCGCGAUACAGGGUGACAGCCCCGUACACAAAAGCGCAUGUGCUGUGAGCUCGAUGAGUAGGGCGGGACACGUGGUAUCCUGUCUGAAUAUGGGGGGACCAUCCUCCAAGGCUAAAUACUCCUGACUGACCGAUAGUGAACCAGUACCGUGAGGGAAAGGCGAAAAGAACCCCGGCGAGGGGAGUGAAAAAGAACCUGAAACCGUGUACGUACAAGCAGUGGGAGCCCCACCACUAAGCCAGUGGUGAACUCCACAUACGCAUCCUUUGCUGAGGAUACGGUUAACGGAGCGAAAGCGACGUUCAACCGCAAAAGAAGCAGAGGGGGCUUAGUGGUGGGGUGACUGCGUACCUUUUGUAUAAUGGGUCAGCGACUUAUAUUCUGUAGCAAGGUUAACCGWAUAGGGGAGCCGKAGGGAAACCGAGUCUUAAYYGGGCGUUAAGUUGCAGGGUAUAGACCCGAAACCCGGUGAUCUAGCCAUGGGCAGGUUGAAGGUUGGGUAACACUAACUGGAGGACCGAACCGACUAAUGUUGAAAAAUUAGCGGAUGACCUGUGGCUGGGGGUGAAAGGCCAAUCAAACCGGGAG